rnacentral:rRNA from 1 species
UACAGAGGCCUCGAGCGUUAGGCGGAAUCACUGGGCUUAAAGCGUGUGUAGGCGGACUUCUAAGUACCUUGUGAAAUCCCACGGCUUACCCGUGGAACUGCUGGGUAUACUGGUUGUCUUGAGCUUUCUAGGGGCGAGUGGAACAAAUGGUGGAGCGGUGAAAUGCGUAGAUAUCAUUUGGAACGCCAAUGGUGAAAACAACUCGCUGGGGAAAUGCUGACGCUGAGACACGAAAGCCAGGGGAGCGAACGG